GUGGGGAAUAUUGGGCAAUGGGGGCAACCCUGACCCAGCGACGCCGCGUGAGGGAAGAAGGCCUUAGGGUCGUAAACCUCUGUUGUGUGGGAAGAAGGAAGUGACGGUACCACACGAGGAAGUCCCGGCUAACUACGUGCCAGCAGCCGCGGUAAUACGUAGGGGACGAGCGUUGUCCGGAAUUACUGGGCGUAAAGGGCGCGUAGGCGGUCAUUUAAGUCAGCUGUGAAAUGGUCCGGCUCAACCGGAUCAUGCGGUUGAAACUGGAUGACUGGAGUGCUGGAGAGGCAAGUGGAAUUCCCAGUGUAGCGGUGAAAUGCGUAGAUAUUGGGAAGAACACCGGUGGCGAAGGCGACUUGCUGGCCAGCAACUGACGCUGAGGCGCGAAAGCCAGGGGAGCAAACGGGAUUAGAAACCCUUGUAGUCC
rnacentral:rRNA from 1 species